rnacentral:rRNA from 1 species
GUCCACGCCGUAAACGGUGGGCACUAGGUGUGGGGGACAUUCCACGUUCUCCGUGCCGAAGCUAACGCAUUAAGUGCCCCGCCUGGGGAGUACGGCCGCAAGGCUAAAACUCAAAGGAAUUGACGGGGGCCCGCACAAGCGGCGGAGCAUGUUCAUUAAUUCGAUGCAACGCGAAGAACCUUACCUAGGUUUGACAUAUACCGGAAACAUCUGGAGACAGGUGCCCCCGCAAGGUCGGUAUACAGGUGGUGCAUGGCUGUCGU